rnacentral:rRNA from 1 species
AGCGAACGCUGGCGGCAGGCCUAACACAUGCAAGUCGAACGAACCUUUCGGGGUUAGUGGCGGACGGGUGAGUAACACGUGGGAACGUGCCUUUAGGUUCGGAAUAACUCAGGGAAACUUGUGCUAAUGCCGAAUGUGCCCUUCGGGGGAAAGAUUUAUCGCCUUUAGAGCGGCCCGCGUCUGAUUAGCUAGUUGGUUGAGGUAAUGGCUCACCAAGGCGACGAUCAGUAGCUGGUCUGAGAGGAUGAUCAGCCACAUUGGGACUGAGACACGGCCCAAACUCCUACGGGAGGCAGCAGUGGGGAAUCUUGCGCAAUGGGCGAAAGCCUGACGCAGCCAUGCCGCGUGAAUGAUGAAGGUCUUAGGAUUGUAAAAUUCUUUCACCGGGGACGAUAAUGACGGUACCCGGAGAAGAAGCCCCGGCUAACUUCGUG